CAAAAGACUUUGCGUGGUUGACCUGGCUAUAGACAUCCAAUAGAAUUUCCAGCCAAUUCCGUAGCCAACAGGAUCGUCGAAUAUUAGAGGAAGCUAUUUGCCCGGGCUUAUCAGCUCGGUUUCCAUCCUUUAAUAUCCUUCCUCAAUUUUUUUUUUGCUUUGUUUCUGAGUGUCAUAGGCUUGAUUUCGAUUCAAUUUCCUCCUUCCAGAACCAAAUAUUAUGAGGUUUCAUAUGGAAGUGUUGCAGGUGCAACAGCUAUCUACAGCGGCCUUUCCAUUUGCUGCCUCUCAUGAUGUUCUAAGAUCUGUGCAUGGCGAGCCAGCUAGUAGCUCAACAACUGCAACACUCCUCCAAAAUGCAGGAUAUAUGCUGGAAUAGGAAGGUACCUCUCGGGGGUUAAAAUACAGGAAAAAAUGGAUGAGAUUAACUGAUGAAGAACCACAGCAUCAAAAGCGAACGGAAAGCAUGCUCAGUUGGCUAUUUUGUGAGAUUUAUAUGUUAGUUAUUCUCUCUUGCCGUCGCCUGAUCGAAUUGCCAAGAAGAUGAGACCCAGCAUAGCAAAUACCGACCAAACAAUGGUAGAAUAAGUAAGUACCGUCACAGCCUUUGCCAGGCUUG